CCUACGGGCGGCAGCAGUGGGGAAUAUUGGGCAAUGGGCGCAAGCCUGACCCAGCAACGCCGCGUGAAGGAAGAAGGCUUUCGGGUUGUAAACUUCUUUUCGCAGGGACGAAGCAAGUGACGGUACAUGAGGAAUAAGCCACGGCUAACUACGCGCCAGCAGCCGCGGUAAUACGUAGGCGGCCAGGGUCAUCCGGAUUUACUGGGGGUAAAGGGCGGGUAGGCGGGGCCGCAAGUCAGAUGUGAAAACCACGGGCUCAACCUGUGGACUGCAUUUGAAACUGUGUUUCGUGAGUGCAGGAGAGGCAAGCGGAAUUCCUAGUGUAGCGGUGAAAUGCGUAGAUAUUAGGAGGAACACCAGUGGCGAAGGCGGUCUGCUGGACAGCAACUGACGCUGAGGCGCGAAAGCGUGGGGAGCAAACAGGAUUAGAUACCCCUGUAGUC
rnacentral:rRNA from 1 species